GAUGAACGCUGGCGGCGUGCCUAAUACAUGCAAGUCGAGCGAACGGACGCGAAGCUUGCUUCUCUGAUGUUAGCGGCGGACGGGUGAGUAACACGUGGAUAACCUACCUAUAAGACUGGGAUAACUUCGGGAAACCGUAGCUAAUACCGGAUAAUCUUUUGAACCGCAUGGUUCAAAAGUGAAAGACGGUCUUGCUGUCACUUAUAGAUGGAUCCGCGCUGCAUUAGCUAGUUGGUAAGGUAACGGCUUACCAAGGCAACGAGGCAUAGCCGACCUGAGAGGGUGAUCGGCCACACUGGAACUGAGACGCGGUCAAGACUCCUACGGGAGGCAGCAGUAGGGAAUCUUCCGCAAUGGUCGAAAGCCUGACGGAGCAACGCCGCGUGAGUGAUGAAGGUCUUCGGAUCGUAAAACUCUGUUAUUAGGGAAGAACAUAUGUGUAAGUAACUGUGCACAUCGUGACGGUACCUAAUCAGAAAGCCACGGCUAACUACGUG
rnacentral:rRNA from 1 species